rnacentral:rRNA from 1 species
AUUGAACGCUGGCGGCAUGCUUUACACAUGCAAGUCGAACGGUAACAGGUUAAGCUGACGAGUGGCGAACGGGUGAGUAAUGCAUCGGAACGUGCCCGAUCGUGGGGGAUAACGCAGCGAAAGCUGCGCUAAUACCGCAUACGAGCUGAGGAUGAAAGCGGGGGACCGGAAGGCCUCGCGGGAUCGGAGCGGCCGAUGUCAGAUUAGGUAGUUGGUGGGGUAAAGGCCCACCAAGCCGACGAUCUGUAGCUGGUUUGAGAGGACGACCAGCCACACUGGGACUGAGACACGGCCCAGACUCCUACGGGAGGCAGCAGUGGGGAAUUUUGGACAAUGGGCGAAAGCCUGAUCCAGCAAUGCCGCGUGCAGGAAGAAGGCCUUCGGGUUGUAAGCUGCUUUUGUACGGAGCGAAAAGGUCCUUUCUAAUACAAGGGGCUCAUGACGGUACCGUAAGAAUAGGCACCGGCUAACUACGUGCCAGCAGCCGCGGUAA